AUUGAACGCUGGCGGCAGGCCUAACACAUGCAAGUCGAACGAGUGGCGGACGGGUGAGUAAUGUCUGGGAAACUGCCUGAUGGAGGGGGAUAACUACUGGAAACGGUAGCUAAUACCGCAUACCAGCGGAUGUGCCCAGAUGGGAUUAGCUAGUAGGUGGGGUAACGGCGCACCUAGGAGACGAUCCCUAGCUGGUCUGAGAGGAGGACCAGCCACACUGGAACUGCGACACGGGCCAGACUCCUACGGGAGGCAGCAGUGGUGAAUAUUUCAAAAUGGGCGCAAGCCUUAUGCAGCCAUGCCGCGUGUAUGAAGAAGGCCUUCGGGUUGUAAAGUACUGUCAGCGGGGAGGCGUUACCCGCAGAAGAAGCACCGGCUAACUCCGUGCCAGCAGCCGCGGUAAUAC
rnacentral:rRNA from 1 species